GACGAACGCUGGCGGCGUGCUUAACACAUGCAAGUCGAGCGGUAAGGCCCUUUCGGGGGUACACGAGCGGCGAACGGGUGAGUAACACGUGGGUGACCUGCCCUCAGCUCUGGGAUAAGCCUGGGAAACCGGGUCUAAUACUGGAUAUGACUCCAUGACGCAUGUUGUGGGGUGGAAAGCCUUGUGCGGCUGAGGAUGGGCCCGCGGCCUAUCAGCUUGUUGGGGGGUGAUGGCCUACCAAGGCGACGACGGGUAGCCGGCCUGAGAGGGCGACCGGCCACACUGGGACUGAGACACGGCCCAGACUCCUACGGGAGGCAGCAGUGGGGAAUCUUGCGCAAUGGGCGAAAGCCUGACGCAGCGACGCCGCGUGAGGA
rnacentral:rRNA from 1 species